rnacentral:lncRNA from 1 species
UUCACCUUCAUUUCUUGUGGCUGGGAGGGAUCUGCUACCGAUGCUAAAGUUCUCCGGUCACCACUUAAUAGUGGGUUUCAUGUACCUCCGGGCAAGUUUUAUCUGGUUGAUGGUGGUUAUGCCAACACACCUUACUUCUUGGCACCGUAUCGUGGUGUUCGGUACCAUCUGAAGGAGUUUGCACGCGGUCGCCGUCGACCCCAAAAUCACAGGGAGCUAUUCAAUCUCCGGCAUGCCGUGUUACGAAAUCACGUCGAACGGGGAUUAGGAAUCUUGAAGAAGCGGUUCCCAAUCCUAAAAGUGGGCACGCAUCAUCGAAUAGAGAACCAAGUCAAGCUACCAGCAGCGGUGGCAAUCUUACAUGACAUCAUCCGAUCUGAAAAAGGAGAUGAGCGUUGGUUAAAUAACCAACCAAACAAUAUACCUGUCAUGAAUUUUGUUGAUCUUCCUGACGGUGAUAUUCCUCAAAAUCAUAAAAAUCAACCAUGAAGGCGACAACCUUAGAGAUGCCAUUGCUCAUCAAAUGUGGGUUGAUUAUCGACAUGCAUAACUUGUCAUUUGUAGUGUAGUAGUAAUAAGUAUAGUGUAGAAGUUUAUGUUUUUUUUUCUGUUGUUCAUGUCAUGAAUAUUGUUCAGAAGUCACUAUGAUGACUGCUCGAGGUACACCAAGGUUGAGCCUCCUCAAAAAAGCUGUCGAAAGGGAUAGAGCAUCACCUCCUACAAGCAGUGUGACAAAGAGGAGGAGAGGGUCUCCCAAAGGUAAUAAACUAGCCGUGACUUUAUUUCUCUUGUCGGGACUUUAUUUGCUUAAAACCAAAAUAGUUAAGAUAGAAAAAGGUACAUUAACAUACAAUGUGGAAAUGCAGAAGAUAGAGCACAGUGGAAUGCA